rnacentral:lncRNA from 1 species
ACUUAAUCAGGCUUUCUCGUGGCUGUCGCCCUUAUGAUAGAGGAAAAUAUUCUCCCUUUGUGUAUUUAUUAACAUUUUGCAUACAACAUCCAGAGCAGAGUAUCCCUCUGUCACCAGAUGCUGCUGGAAUCUUGCCGCCCGGGCGGGCAGGAGGACUCAGCCUGGAGCGGGAGGUGAGGACCCUGUUAGCAGGGUGCCUGCAAGGGGAGGGAGGCAGUCAGCAGCCAGCCUGUCUUCAUCCCUGAUGUGCUCUGCCCCAGCCCAGGCAAGCAGGUUUCUCUUCCUGAAAUGGGCAUUUGAAACAGGGUUGGAGCAGCAGCAACUGGCAAAAAUAUCGGGUGCACUCAGCUGAGCAAAGCAUGGCAAUAUCAGCCCUGGUGAGAUGAGUGAGCUCUGGGCUCUGGAGACAAAGAACAAAAACCUGCUGUUGGACACAAGUUUGAGAGGAGUGAAGAACAAGGUUUUGUAUAUCCAACAGAAAUAACAUUUCAGACCUACAAUAACACAUAGCUUUAAACUGAGCAGAGAGUUCAAGCUACUAAUAUAUCUCAUUGUCAUAUUUCUUCUAGGUUUGCUUUGUGCUGAAGGGAUACUGUCAAAGGGCCUAAGCCAGAACCUUCAGGUUUAUAAAACAAAAGGGGCCUUUAAUUUAUAUUUUUUUUUAUAAUUUCAAUAAAAUAAUACAUCCAUUGCUUGUUUAAAUAUUG